GUGGUGGUGGCGGGGGGUGCCCGUCAGCACCAGUGGCCACUCCAGCCUCGUGGGCCGGAGCCAGGAGCACUGGGAGGGCCGGUCGUUGGAAGGCUCUGGCGUAGUGGAAGGUGUGGAGGCUCAGCAGAGCCACUGCCGAGUCUGAGUUCCAGUUCUGUGCCUCAUCCUAGCUGUGCUGCCUCGGGCAGGGAGCUUAAGUUUCUUUCUUUCUUUCCU
rnacentral:lncRNA from 1 species